GACGAACCGGGCGAACGUUGUUCGGAAUCACUGGGCUUAAAGGGCGCGUAGGCGGUAGGCCAAGUCCGUGGUGAAAUCAUUCGGCUCAACCGGAGAAUGGCCUCGGAUACUGGCCUUCUAGAGGGAGGUAGGGGCAGCGGGAACUGCCAGUGGAGCGGUGAAAUGCGUUGAUAUUGGCAGGAACGCCGGUGGCGAAAGCGCGCUGCUGGCCCUCUUCUGACGCUGAGGCGCGAAAGCUAGGGGAGCAAACGGG
rnacentral:rRNA from 1 species